rnacentral:misc_RNA from 1 species
GAACUGCGAUAAGUAAUGUGAAUUGCAGAAUUCAGUGAAUCAUCGAAUCUUUGAACGCACAUUGCGCCCGCCAGUAUUCUGGCGGGCAUGCCUGUUCGAGCGUCAUUUCAACCAUCAAGCCCCCGGCUUGUGUUGGGGACCUGCGGCUGCCCGCAGGCCCUGAAAAACAGUGGCGGGCUCGCUGUCACACCGAGCGUAGUAGCAUACAUUCUCGCUCAGGGCGUGCUGCGGGUUCCGGCCGUUAAACGACCUUCAUAACCCAAGGUUGACCUCGGAUCAGGUAGGAAGACCCGCUGAACUUAAGC